GUUUACACUUUUUUUAGAAAAAAA
rnacentral:tRNA from 11 species